UACGGAGGGUGCGAGCGUUGUCCGGAAUCAUUGGGCGUAAAGGGCGCGUAGGUGGCGGGACAAGCGUGCGGUGAAAGCUCGGGGCUCAACCCCGAGUCGGCCGUGCGAACUGUUUUGCUUGAGCACUGUAGAGGCAGGCGGAAUUCCGGGUGUAGCGGUGGAAUGCGUAGAGAUCCGGAGGAACACCAGAGGCGAAGGCGGCCUACUGGGCUGCACCUGACGCUGAGCCGCGAAAGCCAGGGGAGCGAACGGG
rnacentral:rRNA from 1 species